rnacentral:rRNA from 1 species
GACGAACGCUGGCGGCGUGCUUAACACAUGCAAGUCGAACGGAAAGGCCCUGCUUUUGUGGGGUGCUCGAGUGGCGAACGGGUGAGUAACACGUGAGUAACCUGCCCUUGACUUUGGGAUAACUUCAGGAAACUGGGGCUAAUACCGGAUAGGAGCUCCUGCUGCAUGGUGGGGGUUGGAAAGUUUCGGCGGUUGGGGAUGGACUCGCGGCUUUUCAGCUUGUUGGUGGGGUAGUGGCUUACCAAGGCUUUGACGGGUAGCCGGCCUGAGAGGGUGACCGGCCACAUUGGGACUGAGAUAGGGCCCAGACUCCUACGGGAGGCAGCAGUGGGGAAUAUUACACAAUGGGCGGAAGCCUGAUGCAACAACGCCGCGUGCGGGAUGACGGCCUUCGGGUUGUGAACCGCUUUCGCCUGUGACGAAGCGUGAGUGACGGUAAUUGGUAAAGAAGCACCGGCUAACUACGUG